rnacentral:rRNA from 1 species
AACGAACGCUGGCGGCAGGCUUAACACAUGCAAGUCGAGCGCCCCGCAAGGGGAGCGGCAGACGGGUGAGUAACGCGUGGGAACGUACCCUUUGCUACGGAAUAGCUCCGGGAAACUGGAAUUAAUACCGUAUGUGCCCUACGGGGGAAAGAUUUAUCGGCAAAGGAUCGGCCCGCGUUGGAUUAGCUAGUUGGUGGGGUAAUGGCCUACCAAGGCGACGAUCCAUAGCUGGUCUGAGAUGAUGAUCAGCCACAUUGGGACUGAGACACGGCCCAGACUCCUACGGGAGGCAGCAGUGGGGAAUAUUGGACAAUGGGCGCAAGCCUGAUCCAGCCAUGCCGCGUGAGUGAUGAAGGCCUUAGGGUUGUAAAGCUCUUUCAGCUGGGAAGAUAAUGACGGUACCAGCAGAAGAAGCCCCGGCUAACUUCGUGCCAGCCGCCGCAGUAAAAC